CGGGGGAGCAAGCGUUGUUCGGAUUUACUGGGCGUAAAGGGCGCGUAGGCGGCCACUGCAAGUCGGUUGUGAAAUCUCCGGGCUUAACCCGGAAAGGUCAACCGAUACUGCAGGGCUAGAGUGCAGAAGGGGCAACUGGAAUUCUCGGUGUAGCGGUGAAAUGCGUAGAUAUCGAGAGGAACACCUGCGGCGAAGGCGGGUUGCUGGGCUGACACUGACGCUGAAGCGCGAAAGCUAGGGGAGCGAACGGGAUUAGAUACCCCGGUAGUCCUAGCCUUAAACGAUGAAUGCUUGGUGUCUGGGGUUUUAUAGUCCCCGGGUGCCGUCGCUAACGCUUUAAGCAUUCCGCCUGGGGAGUACGGUCGCAAGACUG
rnacentral:rRNA from 1 species